CCUAAUUUGGUAAACGCUGGCAAAUUUCUUUCGUCGUCCAAAGACCAGUCAAACGCGUACGUACAGCAAAUUUCCUUCCUCAAAUAUCGGCGGCUUUCCCCUCUCUCUCUCUCUCUCUCAAGAGUCGCCGUUGAUAAUAAUUUUUUUUUUUUAGUUUUCUUGGUCAUCGGAUCUCUUUACCACCGCUCUGGGAUCGAUCCUCGCCCGCGGGUUUCCGAAUUCAAAGAAGCAAAACCGAGUUAUGGGUGUAGUAGACUUGCCGCCCUCUUCUUAUAAGAGAUCCGCGUCGUUCAGAAGGCAUCGAGACGAGCAGUUUAGCUGGUCUGCUCUCCUCGAGAGGCACGGCGUCCUGCCGAGGAUGCCUGCUCCUUCUGCUUGUCCUCCUGCACCAUCUAUCUCUACUUCGCCAUCACUUUGACGGCCGAUUCAUGUUCAGCAUUGUCAGGUGCAGAGAAGGCGCUUUGUGAGGCAACAUCUUCCUCGCUGCGCAAGGGAAAGCUGCGGUUGCUCUGACCGCGGCUCGAAGGACGUUUUGACGACUCCUAUCCAUACUUGAACCUGGGCUUUUCGUACGCGAGUAAGUAAACGAGCGUCUAACUUGUCAUGUAGGAACUAUUCGGUUUGUUACAUUUUUUUUUCUUUAUUGUUUGUUACAUUUUUGAUGGAACUUGUCAUAUAGUUUUAUUCUCAAGCUUGAUUGAAUGCUGCGUAUUCA